AGUUAUCAGCUGGCUAGGAAUCUUACUGACAAUUUAGUGAUGCUAGCUAGCUAAAAGCAUGGUGACAACAUUGAAAUUUCCAUGUUAGGUGUGCUAAGGUAGCCAGUCAAAUAGAGAUCAAUUGGUUAAAUUGUGUAUUUUGUUGUAGGUGGUACAGAAUCUGAGUCCACCAGCAUGUGCUUCCAACCCCUAGCUCUGCACAAGGUGAAGAAAUACACAAGCAUGAGCGAGCGGACACACCUUGUAGUUGUGGGUCAGAAACCAGCAAGGGACACUGAAAGCAAAUCUUCUGAAAGAGCUUAAGGAAGUUGGUGGUUAAGAAGGUCUACGAGCCCUGCACUCACCACUUCCUUCAGAGUCUUAUCCAGCUGGCCGGUACACCGCAGACAGGACAAGACCAUUCGCCACAAGCACAAAGAGUCUCAGCUUCCCCUGCCCACCAUACCAAACACCAUUGCCAGUCUACCGAAGCCAGAUAAAGGACAGUGUGGCUGAACAUAAGACCAAUGCAGAACCACCUUAAAAUAUAUAGGGAUAUUUUCUAUCAAACUUCUACAUUUGUCUCCCUUUAUGUACCCACAGAAGAUAUGCAAGUAUGCUGUACAAGGCUCUGUAGCAUCAAACAGAUGUUAGAAAUUCAGAUAU